CUAAGUAAAUGAUUACCAAGGGCAGUUUCAUUACAACCUGGCACUACAGAGGAAACACCAUUAGGGAACAAGUUCACUUUUUCUAGAGUCUGAUGCUAAGAUGGAAGGAUUUGGCUUUAAUUUCAUUUGCAUAUCUGGCCUACUACAUUUAAUAAAUGUCCAUGAUGUGGCAUUUCUCAGGUCUCCUGGCUCCUAAUUUACUCCUCUUUACAGCACGCUAAGAGAGAAUCAUCCAACUCUCUCGAGUUCAAAAGUUUUACCUCAUUCAAAGCUCUUUUGGGCACUAUGGAACUAAGAAUCUAAUGCUUAGAACUGGGUUGGUUGGGACUGCUGCUCUUCCUUAUAUGAGAGAAAUUGGGUUGGGACUUGCCUUAAUGGGAUUCUUUUGUUUGCAGAUUGGCUCUACCAGUGCACCUGGACAGGGAGGAAUCCUGGCUCAGCGAGAAUUUGAUAGACGAUUCUCCCCCCACUUUCUGGACUGGGCAGCUUUUGGGGUCAUGACACUUCCAUCCAUCGGCAUCCCCCUGCUCUUAUGGUACUCCAGCAAGAGGAAGUAUGACACUCCCAAAGUGAGGAAGAGCUGAGUGGGUGCUCCAUGGCCUCCUCUCCCAUGAAAUCCAGGUGCUUUCCAGACUCCAAAGGAUAUCUCAGAUGCAGUCUCUUCUCCCUUAGCCCUUGGCCACCUUCUCCUGGAUCCUGACCUGCUCUCAGCCAGAGUGAAAGACCAGGCCUUGAAGUCCACAAGAGCCUCCUUGAUUACAGCAUGAAGCCAUACAAACAGGAACAUCUUUGGCAACAGCCCUUGAACCUAGAGGCCCUCUGGUGCCCCAAUGAGCUGCUGCUGUUAUAUUGCUGGCAAUGAGAAUUCUCUCAGGGGUCCAGAGCACGGUGUGGGGGCACUUCAGAGAUUGCCUGACACCACCCCAUCCCUUACCUUCCCCUCUCAAAGAGGGAAGAAGAUGAAAUGAAAGCUAUGGGACUCUCGGAGGCUACCCAGUCUCUGUUCUGGGUUGGGGAGGUACUUACUCAAUGGGAUUUUCUAAUAAAAACAAAUGCCACACAAA